rnacentral:rRNA from 1 species
AACAAACGCUGGCGGCGUGCCUAAUACAUGCAAGUCGAACGGGGAAAGUAGCAAUACGAGUACUAGUGGCGCACGGGUGAGGAAUACAUGGGUAAUCUGCCUUCGAGCUCGGGAUAACCAGUCGAAAGACUGGCUAAUACCGGAUAUGACCACAAGAUCUGAGGAUCAAGGGGUAAAAGGUUUUUCGCUUGAGGAUGAGCCCAUGUGGGAUUAGCUAGUUGGUGUAGGUAACGGCUCACCAAGGCGACGAUCCCUAACUGGUCUUAGAGGACGAUCAGUCACACUGGAACUGAGACACGGUCCAGACUCCUACGGGAGGCAGCAGUAGGGAAUAUUGCACAAUGGAGGAAACCCUGAUGCAGCGACGCCGCGUGAGUGAUGAAGGCCUUCGGGUCGUAAAGCUCUGUCGUAUGGGAAUAACACAAUGAAUGUACCAUGCAAGAAAGGAUCGGCUAACUUCGUGCCAGCAGCCG